GCUUGCAGUGAGCCGAGAUUGCGUCACCGCACUCCAGCCUGGGCGACAGAGCGAGACUCCGUCUCAAAAAAAAUGACUGGACAAAAAACACUCUGAUGCAAACAGGCAAGAAACCCAGCAAGGCCUAUCUGGAUUCUCCUUGGCCUGUCUGCAGCAUUCAUUCCUUCUGGGUAUGGAACAGGACCCUCUGGAAUGGGGGCUGUGGCCUACAACAGUUAAACAAGUGAACUAAAGGGCUCCCAAAAUCUCUCCUGCAGCAUUUUCCUUGAGAAGGAGGAAGGUUUGCAUCUCUGUGAGAAGAAACAUCAGAAGCAGUUGAAAGACCAGGAUGUGGGUCCUCUGGGGCUGAGGAGGCAUUCUGAAUCAACUGUGUGUUCUACACCUGUGUUUUAACUGUGACCUGUCACAUGAGGACAAGUGUGGAAUUUCCCACUUUUGUGCCAUAAAUCUCUCUCUGGGAACAGUGUGGAAGAUGGAUUGAAAUGGUGUAAAAUUGAAGAUGUGGACUCCGGUUGGGAGACUACACCCUAGAUAAGAUGAAGAGAACUUGAAGCAAGACAAUAGCAAUGGGAAUAUAAAGGAGAGGAGACAUUUGAGUGAAAUUAAGGAAGCACAAUCUGCAGACUGUUUUCUUUUUUUUAAGAGUCAGGGUCUCCCUAUUUUGCCCAGGCUGGUCUCAAAGUCCUAGGCUCAAGCGACCCACCCACCUCAGCCUUCCAAAAUGCUGGAAUUACAGGGGUGAACUGCCUCACCAUGCCUCAGUCUGCAGAAUUUGAUGACUGAAUGUAUUUGGAGAGAGUCUGUGGCUUGGAUGACUGGGAGCUGUGAUUGGUUGAUUGAUUUUGAGGCGGAGUUUCACUCUUGUUGCCCAGGCUGAAGUGCAGUGGCACAACCUCUGCUCACUGCAACCGCUGCC
rnacentral:lncRNA from 1 species